AUUGAACGCUGGCGGCAGGCUUAACACAUGCAAGUCGAGCGGAGAUGAGGUGCUUGCACCUUAUCUUAGCGGCGGACGGGUGAGUAAUGCUUAGGAAUCUGCCUAUUAGUGGGGGACAACAUUCCGAAAGGAAUGCUAAUACCGCAUACGUCCUACGGGAGAAAGCAGGGGAUCUUCGGACCUUGCGCUAAUAGAUGAGCCUAAGUCGGAUGAGCUAGUUGGUGGGGGAAAGGCCUACCAAGGCGACGAUCUGUAGCGGGUCUGAGAGGAUGAUUCGCCACACUGGGACUGAGACACGGCCCAGACUCCUACGGGAGGCAGCAGUGGGGAAUAUUGGACAAUGGGGGGAACCCUGAUCCAGCCAUGCCGCGUGUGUGAAGAAGGCCUUAUGGUUGUAAAGCACUUUAAGCGAGGAGGAGGCUACUGAGAUUAAUACUCUUGGAUAGUGGACGUUACUCGCAGAAUAAGCACCGGCUAACUCUGUGCCAGCCGCCGCCGUAAUAC
rnacentral:rRNA from 1 species